GACUAGACCACUUCGGCUUCCUUGUGGUUAGAGCGUCCGCUUUGGAUGCAGGAGGUCGUGGGUUCGAUCCCAGCCUAGUCA